CUCGCUGGCCAAAUCUGAUGGCUGCUUCCAGCCGUUGGCCUGCGGGGCUGUUUGCAGUCGGUAUCUGUAAGCCACCUGCCUGCAGAUAACCUGGCUUCUGCUGGUGUGUGUGUGAGUAACUGGGUGAUGGGAGGAGAUGGAGGAGGGAAGGAGUGUCAAGGCCGUGCCUGUUGCUGUCUGGAGGAGGCUGAAAUUCUGCCACAGGACCAGAGACACUUGAGAAGGCCAACCUCUGUUCAGUUGGACGGAAACAACUGAAAAAGGACAAGGCCAAGAUAUUUCCUCAGUGUCACAUUUUGCCUCCUCCUGCGUGGUGCAGAAAGGAGUGGGGGAGAGAGGAAGAAAAGAGCAGUUGGACUAUAAUGACUCUGGUGUCACCCAACUGCUCAUGGGUUCGACGGAGACUGGGGCUUCAAAACACCGAGGCUGGAGGAGGCAGGGCUGUAAAGCUUUCCUGCACUAACCUGCAGAAUAGUUGCUGCUCCAUAUGAUUUCUGUUUCUGUCCCCAAAAGUGCUUUUUGCAGUAGGAAUAGAAUUCUAUAAAUGUUCUGUAUUUAUUAUUUUGCUGGAGUGAAUUAGUUAUGCUGAACUUAGAUCAAUAAAAUGAGAAAAAGAAGAAAAAAAAAACACCCAAAGAUAAAAGAAACUGCGGAAAGCCGUGCAUUCCAGAAUAAACACAGCACUCCUUGCCGUGGUACAGGCACUGUUUGUGCCUGGCUUCUCAACAGGGGUUCUUGCACAUCCAGUAACUUUGUUUGUAUUUUGUAAAUUAGCAGAUGGCUCUUUGAUACAAAGGAGAAAGUGUUCCCACAUCAGAUUGAGCCUCCUUCUCUGUCUUCUCCCCCCUCUGUUAUUAAACAAAUCAUAGGGGGAGAGACGACCACAGUGCCUAUAUGCAAA